UACGAAGGGGGCUAGCGUUGCUCGGAAUCACUGGGCGUAAAGGGCGCGUAGGCGGCCUGAUCAGUCGGGGGUGAAAGCCUGUGGCUCAACCACAGAAUGGCCUUCGAUACUGUCGGGCUUGAGACCGGAAGAGGUAAGUGGAACUGCGAGUGUAGAGGUGAAAUUCGUAGAUAUUCGCAAGAACACCAGUGGCGAAGGCGGCUUACUGGUCCGGAUCUGACGCUGAGGCGCGAAAGCGUGGGGAGCGAACAGG
rnacentral:rRNA from 1 species